UACUAAAGUUGUUGCGGUUAAAAAGCUCGUAGUUGAAAUUGUGUCCUGCGGCGUCGGUCUACCGUUUGCGGUACGACAGGCGCGUCUGCGGGGCUUCUCGCCGGUGCGUGUCAUCCGCCGAGACGUGGUUGCGUUCGCGCGCACUGCGUCCAAGCGGACCCUCGCGGCUGUUUACUUUGAACAAAUUAGAGUGCUCAAAGCGGGCUUAUAUUUGCCUGAAUAUUGUGCGCAUGGAAUAAUAGAAUAGGACCUCGGUUCUGUUUUGUUGGCUUUCUGAUACCAGAGGUAAUGAUUAAUAGGGACAACUGGGGGCAUUCGUAUUGCGACGUUAGAGGUGAAAUUCUUGGAUCGUCGCAAGACGGACUAAAGCGAAAGCAUUUGCCAAAGGUGUUUUCAUUAAUCAAGAACGAAAGUUAGAGGUUCGAAGGCGAUUAGAUACCGCUGUAGUUCUAACCAUAAAUGAUGCCAGCCAGCGAUCCGCCGAAGUUUUUUAUUUUGAUUCGGUGGGCAGCUCCCGGGAAACCAAAGCUUUC
rnacentral:rRNA from 1 species